rnacentral:rRNA from 1 species
GAUGAACGCUGGCGGCGUGCCUAAUACAUGCAAGUCGAGCGAACAGACGAGGAGCUUUCUCCUCUUAAGUUAGCGGCGGACGGGUGAGUAACACGUGGAUAACCUACCUAUAAGACUGGGAUAACUUCGGUAAACCGGAGCUAAUACCGGGUAAUAUAUUGAACCGCAUGGUUCAAUAGUGAAAGACGGUUUUGCUUUCACUUAUACAUGGAUCCGCGCCGCAUUAGCUAGUUGGUAAGGUAACGGCUUACCAAGGCAACGAUGCGUAGCCGACCUGAGAGGGUGAUCGGCAACACUGGAACUGAGACACGGUCCAGACUCCUACGGGAGGCAGCAGUAGGGAAUCUUCCGCAAUGGGCGAAAGCCUGACGGAGCAACGCCGCGUGAGUGAUGAAGGUCUUCGGAUCGUAAAACUCUGUUAUUAGGGAAGAACAAAUGUGUAAGUAACUAUGCACGUAUUGACGGUACCUAAUUAGAAAGCCACGGCUAACUACGUG